GGAGCGUUCUGUAAGCCUGCGAAGGUGUGCUGUGAGGCAUGCUGGAGGUAUCAGAAGUGCGAAUGCUGACAUAAGUAACGAUAAAGCGGGUGAAAAGCCCGCUCGCCGGAAGACCAAGGGUUCCUGUCCAACGUUAAUCGGGGCAGGGUGAGUCGACCCCUAAGGCGAGGCCGAAAGGCGUAGUCGAUGGGAAACAGGUUAAUAUUCCUGUACUUGGUGUUACUGCGAAGGGGGGACGGAGAAGGCUAUGUUGGCCGGGCGACGGUUGUCCCGGUUUAAGCGUGUAGGCUGGUUUUCCAGGCAAAUCCGGAAAAUCAAGGCUGAGGCGUGAUGACGAGGCACUACGGUGCUGAAGCAACAAAUGCCCUGCUUCCAGGAAAAGCCUCUAAGCAUCAGGUAACAUCAAAUCGUACCCCAAACCGACACAGGUGGUCAGGUAGAGAAUACCAAGGCGCUUGAGAGAACUCGGGUGAAGGAACUAGGCAAAAUGGUGCCGUAACUUCGGGAGAAGG
rnacentral:rRNA from 1 species